rnacentral:rRNA from 1 species
CCUACGGGCGGCAGCAGUGAGGAAUAUUGGUCAAUGGACGAGAGCCUGAACCAGCCAAGUAGCGUGAAGGAUGACUGCCCUAUGGGUUGUAAACUUCUUUUAUAAAGGAAUAAAACGAGGCACGUGUGCCUUUUUGCAUGUACUUUAUGAAUAAGGAUCGGCUAACUCCGUGCCAGCAGCCGCGGUAAUACGGAGGAUCCGAGCGUUAUCCGGAUUUAUUGGGUUUAAAGGGAGCGUAGAUGGGUUGUUAAGUCAGUUGUGAAAGUUUGCGGCUCAACCGUAAAAUUGCAAUUGAUACUGGCAGCCUUGAGUACAGUUGAGGUAGGCGGAAUUCGUGGUGUAGCGGUGAAAUGCUUAGAUAUCACGAAGAACCCCGAUUGCGAAGGCAGCUUACUAAACUGUGACUGACAUUGAUGCUCGAAAGUGUGGGUAUCAAACAGGAUUAGAUACCCGAGUAGUC